CUGAAGGUUGCACUAGUUUGGUUUUGAAUUUUGAGUGCGGAGGAGACAUUGCCCCUAAAACUAUCCGACUGAUUCGGAGAGGAGAGUGCCUCUGUUCCACUAAAUUAAGACUAAAAGGUCAACCUUCUGUGUACGCACAGAACAUGGAUGACAUCAUCCGCACAGUCUUUACGGCUGUGCUAUGGACCCUCGCCUCAUCCCACGAAGACCACAAAAACUUUACAAUUAAAUCUGGACAGAACAUCACUCUCCCAUGUCGAGCUUCAAACACGUCCUUCAUAGCUGUAGAGUGGAGCAGAUUUGACUUAAAGCCAGAAUAUGUACUUUUAAGCCGUGACGGGCACUUUGACCCACACAGCCAGCAUUUAUCUUUUAUGAAUCGAGUUGAUCUGCAGGAAAGAAAGAUGAAGGAUGGAGACGUGUCUUUGAUUCUGAAGAACAUGAAGAUUGAUGACACUGGAACAUACGAGUGUCGUGUCUUCAUGGAAGAAACACGCUCAUGGAAAUCCAUCAGCAUCAUCUACCUGAGUGUUGUUGAUCCUCCAGGUCCGCCAGUAGAGAAUCGACCUGUGGGACUGAUCAUUGGAGUCAUCGUUGGUCUGUCAGCUGUGGUGAUUUUUGUGGCCUGUCUCAUCUAUAAAAAUCCUGAAAAAAGACAAAACAUAUUUCUUGUUCCAUCUUGUCACGAACGGAUACGACAUUUCUGUAGACGAGCAGAGGCUCAUGUAACAUCGGCAGUAAUAUAAUUUCCCUUCCCUUUCCCCUUUCAUCCCCCUUCUUGAAUUGCCACCUUAUCGUGGUGGAGGGGUUUGUGAGCUCAGACAAUCCUGGGAGCUGAGGUGUUUGGAGCGUUCAGCUCCUGGUAGGGUCUCCCAUGACAAACAGGUCCCAGGUGAUGAGCCAGACUAAGAGCAAUUCAAAAAAACAUUGUCCUGUUUGUACCAAUCAUGUGGACAACAGCUAAAUCUGAUUUAGUGACCUAAUGUUACCUAAGACAUGAUUGCGGGUUAUAAAAACCUGUGAUAAUGAAAGGACAAUAUGUAACUGUUAAAAGUAAUAAAAUCAUUUAAACUUGAAACACCAGACCACACAACUCUGUACGAACACACCAACAUUUUGGCUGGUUUGGACCAGGUAAAGACAACAUUCUGUUGUAUCCUGUAAAUUCAGCAGGAUACAACAGAAUAUCCAGAAGGUAUACUGAAAGUAUACCAGCUUUCUAUUGACUGGGACACUUCAGGCUAAAUUAUGUGUUCACUGCAUCUAAAAAAACAAUGAUGCUAUGAUGUUGUUGUGUUUAUUAUCAGGUGAUUUGUAUGUUCAUGUCAGUAAGAAAUGGAAUCAAAAUUCUUAGAUUAGCAGUUUUAUUGUUGCUGUGCACUGAAAGCAGCAGUUUGGGAAUCAGAUUGUUGUUUAAAAUUUACUUGGUGAAAUGUGUUUGUUUGUUGUUGUUUGUUUUUUUUGUUUGUUUGUUUUUUUUCUCUCCUCUUCAGUACUUUGUGUGAUCCUGAUACUGACUGUGAUCAGUGUGACUGCAGCCAUGGUUGGUUUUCUGUGCUGCAGAACUGUUAAUAAAAGCUGUUUAUUG